CAGACACAGAGGGACGACCAGUGAGGACACGGGGAGGAGGUGGCUCCGAUUCUGACACCAAUUCUGAUGUGGCUUUUUUUCCCCCCACACCACCGGAGCAGCUCUCCGAUACCAGCUGGCAAUCUACGAAUCCAAGAAGAGAGCUGCUUCAGAAGACAGCAGCUCUACCAACACCUUGAUCUUGGAUUUCCCGCCUCCAGCACUAGGAGAAAAUAAAUUUGUCACGGGAACCCCUCAUCUGUGGUGCUUGGUCAUGGCCACCAGAGCAGGCGAACACAGAGGUUCUCGUGGGGAUUCCCGUGUACUGGGUCAUUUUGAGCAGGGUCAAAGGAAGAGAGAACUUCCUCUGGAUUUGGGUGUGGUGAGGAGGUGGGGGCUAUUCUGUGAGACUGUUUGCAUGGCCGGGACGUCCUGGCCGGGCUGAGAGUCCACACCGCAAGUCCUGGGCUCCUGUUUCCCUGUCUCGGCGGGAAGCAGCCUGCCAGCCAGGUCCCCGCUCUCAUCACCUCCUCCUGUCCCUCCCAGACCAGAGACAGCUUCUGGACCCAGCGCGCCUGCAGAGAUGAUAUGUGUUAGCUCCAGGCUCAGCCCAGAACUCUAGCCUGUGCACCUGCAGCAGGGUCCAGCGUGGCCCUGGGAUCC